rnacentral:lncRNA from 1 species
UUUGUUUCUUCUUUUAAGACUGAUAUACGGGGGUUAUGGGAAUAUAGCUUUUGUCCUCUUGUCUCAGUAACCUACUUUACCAACAAAACUGAUUUUCGUUUCUUUGAAGCAUCACCACUCUAAAUAUAUAGAGAAAACUCUCACAUUCUCAGUAUAUAUUUUGAAGCUAUAGCUAGUUUUGUUUCAAGUUCAGAAAUAUCAACAUGGUACCUAUCACUACUUACUUUUUUAUUUUCAUUUCAGCCUUCUAUUUUUUCUGGGAUGCACGUCUUGUUAUUGAAGAAGAUGUUCUUCUUCACAAUCAUCUUCUCUUCCCAUUCUCAACAAUGGGUUCUGGCCUUGCUCACCCUGACCUUCCAAUCUUUAUAUAAAUCUCCAUAGAUGCAUAUAUAUCACUACCAAUUACCAAAGGAUCCAGCUUCAGUUCAGGAUAUAUAUAUAUAUAUAUAUAUAUAUAUAUAUAUAUAUAUGUAUGUAUGUGGUAUACUAUUAAGUUUUUCUUUUUCCUUGAGACAAUCUUGUUUGAAUCGAUUGAAUAAGAUCAUUAUGUUAGCUAAUUCAGACACACUUGGUGGUCUGCACUCUAUUAUAUAUGUAAAGUUGUAUUGUUAUUAAUGUGUUAAUAAUAAACCAAAUUCUUCUAAACAAAUUGUUAACAAAUGAAUUUGGCUGUUGUUAUUCUAAAAUCAAAUUUCAAGUUAAUAUGCAAAUAGAUUUAUUUAAAUUGAUUAGAUUAUUAUUAUCCUAAAAUCAAAUUUGAAGGUGAUAUGUAAAUAGAUUUAUAUUUAGGUGUUUUCUAUGGAGCAAGAAAAGAAAGACUUAAUGCAUUUUGCAGAAAAUCAUCAACAGCAAGUGGGGUUUGGUUGUUUUUAUUUCCUUCAAAGUAAUUGUGGUUUAAUUUAGUGAUGAAUGUCACUAUUUGGCGGGUCUCUUUGUAAGUUGUAACAUAUAUUUGUAUUUAAGUUGUAACAUUCGGUUAUUUGAAUCUUAUAAACUAUGCAAAAAUGAUUCAGUUC